GAGUUUGAUCGUGGCUCAGAGUGAACGCUGGCGGUAGGCCUAACACAUGCAAGUCGAACGGUAACAGGUCUUUCGGGAUGCUGACGAGUGGCGGACGGGUGAGGAAUACAUCGGAAUCUGCUCAGUCGUGGGGGAUAACGCAUGGAAACGUGCGCUAAUACCGCAUACGACCUUCGGGUGAAAGCAGGGGAAUCUUUAGGGAUCCUUGCGCGAUUGAAUGAGCCGAUGUCGGAUUAGCUAGUUGGUAGGGUAAAAGCCUACCAAGGCGACGAUCCGUAGCUGGUCUGAGAGGAUGAUCAGCCACACUGGGACUGAGACACGGCCCAGACUCCUGCGGGAGGCAGCAGUGGGGAAUAUUGGACAAUGGGGGCAACCCUGAUCCAGCCAUACCGCGUGGGUGAAGAAGGCCUUCUGGGUUUUAAAGCCCUUUUGUUGGGGAAGAAAAACAACGGGUUAAUACCCCGUUGGUAUGACGGUACCCAAAGAAUAAGCACCGGCUAACUUCGUGCCAGCAGCCGCGGUAAUACGAAGGGUGCAAGCGUUACUCGGAAUUACUGGGCGUAAAGGGUGCGUAGGUGGUUGCGCCAGUCUGUCGUGAAAGCCCUGGGCUUAACCUGGGAAUGGCGAUGGAAACUGUGCAACUAGAGUGUGACAGAGGGUGGUGGAAUUCCUGGUGUAGCAGUGAAAUGCGUAGAGAUCAGGAGGAACAUUCGUGGCGAAGGCGGCCACCUGGGUCAACGCUGACACUGAGGCACGAAAGCGUGGGGAGCAAACAGGAUUAGAUACCCUGGUAGUCCACGCCCUAAACGAUGCGAACUGGAUGUUGGGUCCAACUUGGGAUUCAGUAUCGAAGCUAACGCGUUAAGUUCGCCGCCUGGGGAGUACGGU
rnacentral:rRNA from 1 species